rnacentral:rRNA from 1 species
AUUGAACGCUGGCGGCAGGCUUAACACAUGCAAGUCGAGCGGAGAGAGGUAGCUUGCUACCGAUCUUAGCGGCGGACGGGUGAGUAAUGCUUAGGAAUCUGCCUAUUAGUGGGGGACAACAUUUCGAAAGGAAUGCUAAUACCGCAUACGUCCUACGGGAGAAAGCAGGGGAUCUUCGGACCUUGCGCUCAUAGAUGAGCCUAAGUCGGAGUAGCUAGUUGGUGGGUUAAAGGCCUACCAAGGCGACGAUCUGUAGCGGGUCUGAGAGGAUGAUCCGCCACACUGGGACUGAGACACGGCCCAGACUCCUACGGGAGGCAGCAGUGGGGAAUAUUGGACAAUGGGCGCAAGCCUGAUCCAGCCAUGCCGCGUGUGUGAAGAAGGCCUUAUGGUUGUAAAGCACUUUAAGCGAGGAGGAGGCUACUCUAGUUAAUACCUAGAGAUAGUGGACGUUACUCGCAGAAUAAGCACCGGCUAACUCUGUGCCAGCAGCCGCGGUAACAC